rnacentral:rRNA from 1 species
AGAGUUUGAUCCUGGCUCAGAACGAACGCUGGCGGCGUGGAUAAGACAUGCAAGUCGAACGAGAGAAUUGCUAGCUUGCUAAUAAUUCUCUAGUGGCGCACGGGUGAGUAACACGUGAGUAACCUGCCCCCGAGAGCGGGAUAGCCCUGGGAAACUGGGAUUAAUACCGCAUAGUAUCGAAAGAUUAAAGCAGCAAUGCGCUUGGGGAUGGGCUCGCGGCCUAUUAGUUAGUUGGUGAGGUAACGGCUCACCAAGGCGAUGACGGGUAGCCGGUCUGAGAGGAUGUCCGGCCACACUGGAACUGAGACACGGUCCAGACACCUACGGGUGGCAGCAGUCGAGAAUCAUUCACAAUGGGGGAAACCCUGAUGGUGCGACGCCGCGUGGGGGAAUGAAGGUCUUCGGAUUGUAAACCCCUGUCAUGUGGGAGCAAAUUAAAAAGAUAGUACCACAAGAGGAAGAGGCGGCUAACUCUGUGCCAGCAGCCGCGGUAAUACAGAGGUCUCAAGCGUUGUUCGGAAUCACUGGGCGUAAAGCGUGCGUAGGCUGUUUCGUAAGUCGUGUGUGAAAGGCGCGGGCUCAACCCGCGGACGGCACAUGAUACUGCGAGACUAGAGUAAUGGAGGGGGAACCGGAAUUCUCGGUGUAGCAGUGAAAUGCGUAGAUAUCGAGAGGAACACUCGUGGCGAAGGCGGGUUCCUGGACAUUAACUGACGCUGAGGCACGAAGGCCAGGGGAGCGAAAGGGAUUAGAUACCCCUGUAGUCCUGGCAGUUAACGGUGCACGCUUGGUGUGCGGGGAAUCGACCCCCUGCGUGCCGGAGCUAACGCGUUAAGCGUGCCGCCUGGGGAGUACGGUCGCAAGAUUAAAACUCAAAGAAAUUGACGGGGACCCGCACAAGCGGUGGAGUAUGUGGCUUAAUCCGAUGCAACGCGAAGAACCUUACCUGGGCUUGACAUGUAAUGAACAACAUGUGAAAGCAUGCGACUCUUCGGAGGCGUUACACAGGUGCUGCAUGGCCGUCGUCAGCUCGUGUCGUGAGAUGUUUGGUUAAGUCCAGCAACGAGCGCGACCCCUAUCCUCAGUAGCCAGCGGUUCGGCCGGGCACUCUGUGGAGACUGCCAGGGAUAACCUGGAGGAAGGCGGGGAUGACGUCAAAUCAUCAUGCCCCUUAUGAUUUGGGCUACACACGUGCUACAAUGGCGUAAACAAAGGGAAGCGAGUCUGUGAAGGUAAGCAAAUCCCAAAAAUAACGUCCCAGUUCGGACUGCAGUCUGCAACUCGACUGCACGAAGCUGGAAUCGCUAGUAAUCGCGGAUCAGAAUGCCGCGGUGAAUACGUUCCCGGGUCUUGUACACACCGCCCGUCACACCAUGGGAGUCAGUAACGCCCGAAGUCAGUGACCUAACCGCAAGGGAGGAGCUGCCGAAGGCGGGACCGAUGACUGGGGUGAAGUCGUAACAAGGUA